rnacentral:rRNA from 1 species
UACGAAGGGGGCUAGCGUUGUUCGGAUUUACUGGGCGUAAAGCGCACGUAGGCGGGUCGUUAAGUCAGAGGUGAAAUCCCGGAGCUCAACUCCGGAACUGCCUUUGAUACUGGCGACCUUGAGGCUGGAAGAGGUUAGUGGAAUUCCCAGUGUAGAGGUGAAAUUCGUAGAUAUUGGGAAGAACACCAGUGGCGAAAGGCGGCUCACUGGUCCGGUUCUGACGCUGAGGCGCGAAAGCGUGGGGAGCAAACAGG